GUUGAGAGCUUACCAGCAAAUGGGGAAAGUGUGUUUUGCUUGUUGUAAAUAUGAUGUGUAGAAUGCAGAUAUUUGUACAGAGGUUUUAUGUCAUGCAACAACUUGUGCAUCCAGUAGAUUCCAAACUCCACUAUUACAAGAUAAAUAGCCGCAUUGAUGAUGUAGGUAGGCCAUCCAACAUCACUUAUUCUCGCAAAACAUUUGGUCCAUCCGUUUUCAAUCAUGUAUUCAGAAAGUGAUGGAAGGGCACAGUACCACGGCAUAGCUUUCAUAGCAACUGAUAUUUGCA